rnacentral:rRNA from 1 species
GGUUCGAUUUUGUUCAGAUUGAACGCUGGCGGACAUGACACGUAAGUCGAACUAAGGCACGGACUUCGGUCUGGUGAAGUGGCGAACGGUGAGUACGUAUCGGAACGUGCCUAGUAGCGGGGAUAACUACGCGAAAGCGUAGCUUACUAACGCAGCACGCCCUUCGGGGGAAAGCGGGGACUUUCGUGGCCUCGCACUAUUAGAGCGGCCGAUAUCGAUUAGCCAGUUGGUGGGGUAACGGCUCACCAAGGCGACGAUCCGGGUAGCUGGCUUGAGAGGACGACCAGCCACACUGGGACUGGAGACAUCGGCCCAGACUCCUACGGGAGGCAGCAGGGAAUUUUGAUUAAUGGGGAAACCCUGAUCCAGCCAUCCUGGCGUGUGCGCGAUGGGGCUGCUUCGGCUGUAAAGCACUUUUGGCAGGAAAGAAACGGCACGGGAUAAUACCCCCAUGCAACUGACGGUACCUGCAGAAUAGUUGACCGGCUAACUACGCCAGCAGCCGCGGUAUUACGUAGGGUGUAAAGCGUUAAUCGGAAUUACUGGGCGUAAGCGUGCGCAAGGCGGUUCGAAAAAGAAAGAUGAAAUCCCAGAGCUUAACUUGAACCGCAUUUUUAACUACCGAGCUAGAGGUGUCAGAGGAGGUGAAUUCGCGUGUAGCAGUGAAAUGCGAGAUAUGCGGAGGAACAUCGAUGGCGAAGGCAGCCUCCCGGGAUAACACUGACGCUCAUGCAACGAAAGCGUGGGGAGCAACAGGAUUAUACCUUGGUAGUUCACGCUCUAAACGAUGUCAACUAGCUGUUGGGGCCUCGGGCCUCGGUAGCGCAGCUAACGCGUGAAGUUGACCGCCUGGGGAGUACGGUCGCAAGCAUUAAAACCUCAGCGAAUUGACGGGACUCCGCACAAGCGGUGAUGAUGUGGAUUAAUCUUGAUAACGCGAAAAACCUUACCUACCCUGACAUGUUCAACCUGAAGAGAUUUUAAGUGCCUGCAAGAGAACUGGAACACAGGUGCUGUAUGGCUGUCGUCAGCUCGUGUCGUGAGAUGUUGUCAAGUCCUGCAACGAGCGCAACCCUUGCCAGUUGCUACGAAAGGGCACUCUAAUGAGACGGCCGGUGACAAACCGAGGAAGGUGGGAUGACGUCAAGUCCUCAUGGCCCUUAUGCGGUAGGGCUUCACACGUCAUACAAUGGCCGGGACAGGUCGCCAACCUGCGAGGGGAGCCAAUCCCAGAAACCGAUCGUAGUCCGGAUCGCAGUCUGCAACUCGACUGCGUGAAGUCGGAAUCGCUAGUAAUCGCGGAUCAGCAUGUCGUGGUGGAAUACGUUCCCGGGGUCUUGUACACACUGCCCGUCACACCAUGGGAGUGGGUUUUACCAGAGUAGUUAGCCUAACCGUAAGGAGGGCGAUUACCACGGUAGGAUUCAUGACCGGGUGAAGUCGUGUAACAAGGUAA